CCUACGGGUGGCAGCAGUCGAGAAUCAUUCACAAUGGGCGAAACUCUGAUGGUGCGACGCCGCGUGGGGGAAUGAAGGUCUUCGGAUUGUAAACUCCUUUCAUGUGGGAGCAAAUUAAAAAGAUAGUACCACAAGAGGAAGAGACUGCUAACUCUGUGCCAGCAGCCGCGGUAAUACAGAGGUCUCAAGCGUUGUUCGGAAUCACUGGGCGUAAAGCGUGCGUAGGCUGUUUGGUAAGUCGUGUGUGAAAGGCGCGGGCUCAACCCGCGGACGGCACAUGAUACUUCGAGACUAGAGUAAUGGAGGGGGAAGCGGAAUUCUCGGUGUAGCAGUGAAAUGCGUAGAUAUCGAGAGGAACACUCGUGGCGAAGGCGGGUUCCUGGACAUUAACUGACGCUGAGGCACGAAGGCGAGGGGAGCGAAAGGGAUUAGAUACCCCUGUAGUC
rnacentral:rRNA from 1 species